rnacentral:rRNA from 1 species
UACGUAGGGACCGAGCGUUGUCCGGAAUCAUUGGGGCGUAAAGAGCGUGUAGGCGGCCCCUUAAGUCUGCGUGAAAUCCUGCGGCUCAACCGCAGACGGUCGUGGGAAACUGGAGGGCUAGAGUUCGGGAGAGGGAUGCGGAAUUCCGAGGUGUAGCGGUGAAAUGACGUAGAUAUCUGGAGGAACACCGGUGGCGAAGGCGGCAUCCUGGACCGACACUGACGCUGAGGAGCGAAAGCCAGGGGAGCAAACGGGG